CACGUAGGGUGCGAGCGUUGUCCGGAAUUAUUGGGCGUAAAGAGCUCGUAGGCGGUGUGUCGCGUCGGCCGUGAAAACCUGCAGCUUAACUGUGGGCUUGCGGUCGAUACGGGCAUCACUGGAGUUCGGCAGGGGAGACUGGAAUUCCUGGUGUAGCGGUGAAAUGCGCAGAUAUCAGGAGGGAACACCGGUGGCGGAAGG
rnacentral:rRNA from 1 species